GAACGCCGUAUGACGGGAAACCGUCACGUACGGUGUGGAGUGGGGGAAAAGCUGGAGAUGACCUCAAAAGCUUACCUAUCACUA
rnacentral:ncRNA from 1 species